rnacentral:lncRNA from 1 species
AUGAAGAUGUAUAAAGAGACAGUGCUUUUGUUACUAUUUUUAGGUUAUGUUUCAACCCAAGAAGUGAGUACCCCUCACAGUAAUGCAAGUAAACCCUACGAACAACCAGUAACGAAGGAAAUAACAACCGUGGCAACGGCUAGCAUAGCCAAAGACGAGCAUUUGACCACCCAAACCCACUCUGAGAUCUCAACGCAGGCACCAGGAAAAGACGGAUCAAGAGAUCGGGUAACCCACGCUCUCUCCGGACCAGGUAAGUUGACAACUUGCAUGUGGACAAAAAUCGCACGUAAUUCUCCUUAUUUGCCAAUAGAGGUCCCCAUUUUUCUUCUUAUGAGGGUUGCUUUAAGUGGGCCACAGAGUUUGCAACAUGGUUCUUCCCUUCUUAAAAAUGGUGCCUUUUCUAUGAGACAUCAGAAAAUGGCCAUAAGUUACAUGAUAAAUAAACAAUCUUAA